AUUGAACGCUGGCGGCAGGCCUAACACAUGCAAGUCGCACGAGUGGCGGACGGGUGAGUAAUGUCUGGGAAACUGACUGAUGGAGGGGGCUAACUACUGGCAACGGUAGCUAAUACCGCAUACCAUCAGAUGUGCCCAGAUGGGAUUAGCUAGUUGGUGGGGUAACGGCGCACCAAGUCGACGAUCCCUCGCUGGUCUGAGAGGAUGACAAGCCACACGGGAACUGAGACACGGUCCAGACUCCUACGGGAGGCAGCAGUGGGGAAUAUUGCACAAUGGGCGCAAGCCUGAUGCAGCCAUGCCGCGUGUAUGAAGAAGGCCUUCGGGUUGUAAAGGACUUUCAGCGGGGAGGCGUUACCCGCAGAAGAAGCACCGGCUAACUCCGUGCCAGCAGCCGCGGUAAUUC
rnacentral:rRNA from 1 species